rnacentral:rRNA from 1 species
GACGAACGCUGGCGGCGUGCUUAACACAUGCAAGUCGAACGAAGUGGCGCACGGGUGAGUAACGCGUAAUCAACCUGCCCUUCAGAGGGGGACAACAGUUGGAAACGACUGCUAAUACCGCAUACUGAAGGAGGGGAUUGCGUCUGAUUAGCCAGUUGGAGGGGUAACGGCCCACCAAGGCGAUGAUCAGUAGCCGGACUGGGGGGAUGAGCGGGCACCAUGGGACUGAGACACGGCCCAGACUCCGACGGGAGGGAGAAGUAGGGGAGCGGCAGAAAUGGACGUGAGUCUGACGCAGCAACGCCGCGGUAGUGAUGAGGGCGUUGGGGUUGUAGAGCUCUGUUAAUCGGGACGCGGUACCGGAUUAGAAAGCCACGGCUAACUACGUGCCAGCAGCCGCGGUAAUUC